GUAACACGAACACACUGGAGGUAACACUAACACACUGGAGGUAACACUAACACACUGGAGGUAACACUAACACACUGGAGGUAACACUAACACACUGGAGGUAACACUAACACACUGGAGGUAACACGAACACACUGGAAGUUACACGAACACACUGGAGGUAACAUGAACACACUGGAGGUAACACUAACACACUAGGGGUAACACUAACACACUGGAGGUAACACUAACACACUGGAGGGUAACACUAACACACUGGAGGUAACACUAACACACUGGAGGUAACACUAACACACUGGGGGGUAACACUAACACACUGGAUGGUGACACUAACACACUGGCGGUAACACUAACACACUGGAGGUAAAACUAACACACUGGGCUGUAACACUAACA
ensembl:lncRNA